UCUGGUGACUUUGGCGAAGGGGAAACACCUGUUCCCAUUCCGAACACAGAAGUUAAGCCCUUCAGCGCCGAUGGUACUUGUUCCGCGAGGAACCGGGAGAGUAGGACAUUGCCAGUU
rfam:Candidatus Berkelbacteria bacterium CG2_30_43_20 cg2_3.0_scaffold_2818_c, whole genome shotgun sequence.